rnacentral:rRNA from 1 species
CUACGGGACGCAGCAGUGGGGAAUUUUGCGCAAUGGGCGAAAGCCUGAAGCAGCAACGCCGCGUGACUGAAGAAGCCCUGCGGAGUGUAAAAGUCUGUCGUAAGGGGAGAAAACUUCUAUUAUUAACACUAAUAGGUUUUGACGGUACCUUGCAAGAAAGCCCCGGCUAACUUCGUGCCAGCAGCCGCGGUAAUACGAGGGGGGCAAGCGUUGUCCGGAAUUAUUGGGCGUAAAGAGCUCGUAGGUGGGUUGAUCAGUCGAUAUUGAAAUCCCCCGACUUAAUCGGGGAACUGGUAUCGAUACUGUCAAUCUUGAGUGAGGUAGAGGUAAGCGGAAUUCCUGGUGUAGCGGUGAAAUGCGUAGAUAUCAGGAGGAACACCAACGGCGAAGGCAGCUUACUGGGCCUAUACUGACACUGAGGAGCGAAAGCGUGGGGAGCAAACAGGAUUAGAUACCCUCGUAGUC